rnacentral:rRNA from 1 species
GGUUAAGCGACUAAGCGUACACGGUGGAUGCCCUGGCAGUCAGAGGCGAUGAAGGACGUGCUAAUCUGCGAUAAGCGUCGGUAAGGUGAUAUGAACCGUUAUAACCGGCGAUUUCCGAAUGGGGAAACCCAGUGUGUUUCGACACACUAUCAUUAACUGAAUCCAUAGGUUAAUGAGGCGAACCGGGGGAACUGAAACAUCUAAGUACCCCGAGGAAAAGAAAUCAACCGAGAUUCCCCCAGUAGCGGCGAGCGAACGGGGAGCAGCCCAGAGCCUGAAUCAGUGUGUGUGUUAGUGGAAGCGUCUGGAAAGGCGCGCGAUACAGGGUGACAGCCCCGUACACAAAAAUGCACAUGCUGUGAGCUCGAUGAGUAGGGCGGGACACGUGGUAUCCUGUCUGAAUAUGGGGGGACCAUCCUCCAAGGCUAAAUACUCCUGACUGACCGAUAGUGAACCAGUACCGUGAGGGAAAGGCGAAAAGAACCCCGGCGAGGGGAGUGAAAAAGAACCUGAAACCGUGUACGUACAAGCAGUGGGAGCCUCUCUUUAUGGGGGGUGACUGCGUACCUUUUGUAUAAUGGGUCAGCGACUUAUAUUCUGUAGCAAGGUUAACCGAAUAGGGGAGCCGAAGGGAAACCGAGUCUUAACUGGGCGUUAAGUUGCAGGGUAUAGACCCGAAACCCGGUGAUCUAGCCAUGGGCAGGUUGAAGGUUGGGUAACACUAACUGGAGGACCGAACCGACUAAUGUUGAAAAAUUAGCGGAUGACUUGUGGCUGGGGGUGAAAGGCCAAUCAAACCGGGAGAUAGCUGGUUCUCCCCGAAAGCUAUUUAGGUAGCGCCUCGUGAAUUCAUCUCCGGGGGUAGAGCACUGUUUCGGCAAGGGGGUCAUCCCGACUUACCAACCCGAUGCAAACUGCGAAUACCGGAGAAUGUUAUCACGGGAGACACACGGCGGGUGCUAACGUCCGUCGUGAAGAGGGAAACAACCCAGACCGCCAGCUAAGGUCCCAAAGUCAUGGUUAAGUGGGAAACGAUGUGGGAAGGCCCAGACAGCCAGGAUGUUGGCUUAGAAGCAGCCAUCAUUUAAAGAAAGCGUAAUAGCUCACUGGUCGAGUCGGCCUGCGCGGAAGAUGUAACGGGGCUAAACCAUGCACCGAAGCUGCGGCAGCGACGCUUAUGCGUUGUUGGGUAGGGGAGCGUUCUGUAAGCCUGUGAAGGUGUGCUGUGAGGCAUGCUGGAGGUAUCAGAAGUGCGAAUGCUGACAUAAGUAACGAUAAAGCGGGUGAAAAGCCCGCUCGCCGGAAGACCAAGGGUUCCUGUCCAACGUUAAUCGGGGCAGGGUGAGUCGACCCCUAAGGCGAGGCCGAAAGGCGUAGUCGAUGGGAAACAGGUUAAUAUUCCUGUACUUGGUGUUACUGCGAAGGGGGGACGGAGAAGGCUAUGUUGGCCGGGCGACGGUUGUCCCGGUUUAAGCGUGUAGGCUGGUUUUCCAGGCAAAUCCGGAAAAUCAAGGCUGAGGCGUGAUGACGAGGCACUACGGUGCUGAAGCAACAAAUGCCCUGCUUCCAGGAAAAGCCUCUAAGCAUCAGGUAACAUCAAAUCGUACCCCAAACCGACACAGGUGGUCAGGUAGAGAAUACCAAGGCGCUUGAGAGAACUCGGGUGAAGGAACUAGGCAAAAUGGUGCCGUAACUUCGGGAGAAGGCACGCUGAUAUGUAGGUGAAGUCCCUCGCGGAUGGAGCUGAAAUCAGUCGAAGAUACCAGCUGGCUGCAACUGUUUAUUAAAAACACAGCACUGUGCAAACACGAAAGUGGACGUAUACGGUGUGACGCCUGCCCGGUGCCGGAAGGUUAAUUGAUGGGGUUAGCGCAAGCGAAGCUCUUGAUCGAAGCCCCGGUAAACGGCGGCCGUAACUAUAACGGUCCUAAGGUAGCGAAAUUCCUUGUCGGGUAAGUUCCGACCUGCACGAAUGGCGUAAUGAUGGCCAGGCUGUCUCCACCCGAGACUCAGUGAAAUUGAACUCGCUGUGAAGAUGCAGUGUACCCGCGGCAAGACGGAAAGACCCCGUGAACCUUUACUAUAGCUUGACACUGAACAUUGAGCCUUGAUGUGUAGGAUAGGUGGGAGGCUUUGAAGUGUGGACGCCAGUCUGCAUGGAGCCGACCUUGAAAUACCACCCUUUAAUGUUUGAUGUUCUAACGUGGACCCGUGAUCCGGGUUGCGGACAGUGUCUGGUGGGUAGUUUGACUGGGGCGGUCUCCUCCUAAAGAGUAACGGAGGAGCACGAAGGUUGGCUAAUCCUGGUCGGACAUCAGGAGGUUAGUGCAAUGGCAUAAGCCAGCUUGACUGCGAGCGUGACGGCGCGAGCAGGUGCGAAAGCAGGUCAUAGUGAUCCGGUGGUUCUGAAUGGAAGGGCCAUCGCUCAACGGAUAAAAGGUACUCCGGGGAUAACAGGCUGAUACCGCCCAAGAGUUCAUAUCGACGGCGGUGUUUGGCACCUCGAUGUCGGCUCAUCACAUCCUGGGGCUGAAGUAGGUCCCAAGGGUAUGGCUGUUCGCCAUUUAAAGUGGUACGCGAGCUGGGUUUAGAACGUCGUGAGACAGUUCGGUCCCUAUCUGCCGUGGGCGCUGGAGAACUGAGGGGGGCUGCUCCUAGUACGAGAGGACCGGAGUGGACGCAUCACUGGUGUUCGGGUUGUCAUGCCAAUGGCACUGCCCGGUAGCUAAAUGCGGAAGAGAUAAGUGCUGAAAGCAUCUAAGCACGAAACUUGCCCCGAGAUGAGUUCUCCCUGACCCUUUAAGGGUCCUGAAGGAACGUUGAAGACGACGACGUUGAUAGGCCGGGUGUGUAAGCGCAGCGAUGCGUUGAGCUAACCGGUACUAAUGAACCGUGAGGCUUAACCUU